UUGGAGGGCAAGUCUGGUGCCAGCAGCCGCGGUAAUUCCAGCUCCAAUAGCGUAUAUUAAAGUUGUUGCAGUUAAAAAGCUCGUAGUUGAAUUUCGGGAUUAGCAGGUCGGUCGUGCCACUGGUACGUACUGGUCUUGCUGAUUCCUCCCUCUUGACGAGCCGUAAUGCCAUUAAUUUGGUGUUGCGGGGAAUCAGGACUGUUACUUUGAAAAAAUUAGAGUGUUUAAAGCAGG
rnacentral:rRNA from 1 species